GAGUGGGAUCCUGAUUAGAACUGGGAGGUCUUCUAGGACUUUAUAGAGCAGAGGUUUGCAGCCUGUGACACUCAGCUCAUGGAGACCUAGGUGGCCUUGGGUUCUGAGCACCAGACAGGACUUG
rnacentral:precursor_RNA from 7 species